AGGGAACAUCGAAGCUUCCAAGAGACGUCCUCUCCUCUUUGAGAAUUCCCACCCACCUCUGCACCCUGGUGGCCUCCCGUUCGAUAGCAAAUCCCCUCCGUGCACCUGCCUCCCGCCACCCCGGCCACCGACACAUUUGGGGGACACGGGUAUGCCGUCCGUAGCAGCUGGUGACGAUGUUGCCACAUUCUAUGUGCUUCACAAGAACCGCCUCAUUUCAUCCCAACAGUGCUAGGAGUUACCAGGCGUCGCUUUACCAUCACUGGACACACGGGGGAACUGAGGCAAAGACCUCGGUGAGGUCACCCACCCAAAGUCACCCAGCCGGCAAAGAGAAGAGCCGACGUUCAAAGCCAGCUGCCGAGGACUCUGCCCUUGGGUGACCUUUGCGAAGGAACACAGUCCGAGGGCCUGCAAAAAAGAGGGGCGUAGGCAGCACUCAGAGAAAUGAGCCUUUAGGAAAAGGAAACGUAGAUGAGACACUCCAGAGACCGCGGGCCCAAACUCCCUACCAAGCUCACGCUUGCUUGAGGACCGAGUCGUACGGGGGCCGCGGCGGCAGGAAUCCUGGGUUCUUUGCCCGCUUUCUGUGCACAGCGGAUGUGCCCUGGGUCUUACUGGGUUUUGCCACGCGGGUUUUGUAACGCCUGCUGGCCGCGCAUUCCCGCGCGUUGCCCUGGGGGCGUGCGUGUUAACCCGAGCGCCCACACGUUGUGCACACAAACACACGCUCCCUGCUCGGAGGCCACAGGCAGCCCGGCACAGUGAGAGGUCGUCUUGCUCUGCUGCAGCCCGGCUCCUCCCAGAGAGAAGGACAGGGGUCCCCAAAGCGGCACCCAGAGAGCAAGACGCCUCGAGGAGGAACCCACCGGCCGUCCUCUCUGCCGGAAGGAAGGUGCUUUCUCCCUGGGCUCUGGGCACUCAGCUGCAGGCCCUCCGCCACCACCGGCCGCCUGCCCCGGGGGACCGGGCCGGCACUCUGCACGGGACCGCGCGGAGGGCUGGCGGGGGGCGCACUCCAUCGUACCUCGGGUGUCCCCAGAGCCGCCCUGCAGCCCCGCGGGAGAGUGGGGCUCAGACCGGAGGAAAGAGGGUGGUGAGGCCACCUUUGCGGGGCUGCACAGAGGGGCUGGGCUUGGGGGAGAGUCAGCCCCACCGACCUCUUAGCAGGUGUCGCUGGUAUUAUCAGAGAAAACCCAGAACAUCUUAUUUUCUGGGAAGGCCGG
rnacentral:lncRNA from 1 species